rnacentral:rRNA from 1 species
ACCCUUGGCUUAACCAAGGAAGGGCAUUUGAAACUGCUUGGCUUGAGUACGGGAGGGGGAAGCGGAAUUCCCGGUGUAGAGGUGAAAUUCGUAGAUAUCGGGAGGAACACCAGUGGCGAAGGCGGCCACCUGGACCUGUACUGACGCUGAGACGCGAAAGCGUGGGGAGCAAACAGGAUUAGAUACCCUGGUAGUCCACGCCUUAAACUUUGGGCACUAGGUGUUGUGGGUAUUGACCCCUGCAGUGCCAAGGGCGAAUUCCACAUUG